rnacentral:rRNA from 1 species
UACGUAAGUGGCAAGCGUUAUCCGGAUUUAUUGGGCAUAAAGAGCAUGUAGGUGGUAAUUUAAGUCAGGUGUUAAAAGCUACUGCUUAACAGUAGUUCGCACUUGAAACUGAAUUACUAGAGGUCAGUAGAGGAAAGCGGAAUUCACAAAGUAGCGGUGAAAUGCGUAGAUAUUGUGAGGAACACCAGUGGCGAAGGCGGCUUUCUGGACUGAAUCUGACACUCAAAUGCGAAAGCGUGGGGAGCAAACG